UGCAUAUCCAAUAAGCGGAGGAAAAGAAACCAACAGGGAUUGCCUCAGUAGCGGCGAGUGAAGCGGCAAGAGCUCAGAUUUGAAAUCUCACCUAGUGUGCGAGUUGUAAAUUGCAGGUUGGAGUCUCGGGUUAGACGUGUGUGCAAGUCCCUUGGAACAGGGUGCCACUGAGGGUGAGAGCCCCGUAUCGUGCAUGUCGACACCUGUGAGGCCCUUCUGACGAGUCGAGUUGUUUGGGAAUGCAGCUCUAAGUGGGUGGUAAAUUCCAUCUAAGGCUAAAUAUUGGCGAGAGACCGAUAGCGAACAAGUACUGUGAAGGAAAGAUGAAAAGCACUUUGAAAAGAGAGUGAAACAGCACGUGAAAUUGUUGAAAGGGAAGGGUAUUGGGCUCGACAUGGGAUUUACGCAUCGUUGCCUCUCGUGGGCGGCGCUCUGGGUUUUUCCUGGGCCAGCAUCGGUUUUCGUUGCAGGAUAAGGACAAUUGGAAUGUGGCUCCUCGGAGUGUUAUAGCCUUUUGUAGAUGCUGCGUAUGGGGACCGAGGGCUGCGGCGGACUCGUUUCGUCUCGGAUGCUGGCACAACGGCGCAAUACCGCCCGUCUUGAACACCGGACCA
rnacentral:rRNA from 1 species